rnacentral:rRNA from 1 species
GGGUUGUGAGGUUAAGCGACUAAGCGUACACGGUGGAUGCCCUGGCAGUCAGAGGCGAUGAAGGGCGUGCUAAUCUGCGAUAAGCGCCGGUAAGGUGAUAUGAACCGUUAUAACCGGCGAUACCCGAAUGGGGAAACCCAGUGUGAUUCGUCACACUAUCAUUAACUGAAUCCAUAGGUUAAUGAGGCGAACCGGGGGAACUGAAACAUCUAAGUACCCCGAGGAAAAGAAAUCAACCGAGAUUCCCCCAGUAGCGGCGAGCGAACGGGGAGGAGCCCAGAGCCUGAAUCAGCAUGUGUGUUAGUGGAAGCGUCUGGAAAGGCGCGCGAUACAGGGUGACAGCCCCGUACACAAAAGCGCAUGUGCUGUGAGCUCGAUGAGUAGGGCGGGACACGUGGUAUCCUGUCUGAAUAUGGGGGGACCAUCCUCCAAGGCUAAAUACUCCUGACUGACCGAUAGUGAACCAGUACCGUGAGGGAAAGGCGAAAAGAACCCCGGCGAGGGGAGUGAAAAAGAACCUGAAACCGUGUACGUACAAGCAGUGGGAGCCCCACCACUAAGCCAGUGGUGAACUCCACAUACGCAUCCUUUGCUGAGGAUACGGUUAACGGAGCGAAAGCGACGUUCAACCGCAAAACAAGCAGAGGGGGCUUAGUGGUGGGGUGACUGCGUACCUUUUGUAUAAUGGGUCAGCGACUUAUAUUCUGUAGCAAGGUUAACCGAAUAGGGGAGCCGUAGGGAAACCGAGUCUUAACCGGGCGUUAAGUUGCAGGGUAUAGACCCGAAACCCGGUGAUCUAGCCAUGGGCAGGUUGAAGGUUGGGUAACACUAACUGGAGGACCGAACCGACUAAUGUUGAAAAAUUAGCGGAUGACCUGUGGCUGGGGGUGAAAGGCCAAUCAAACCGGGAGAUAGCUGGUUCUCCCCGAAAGCUAUUUAGGUAGCGCCUCGUGAAUUCAUCUCCGGGGGUAGAGCACUGUUUCGGCUAGGGGGCCAUCCCGGCUUACCAACCCGAUGCAAACUGCGAAUACCGGAGAAUGUUAUCACGGGAGACACACGGCGGGUGCUAACGUCCGUCGUGAAGAGGGAAACAACCCAGACCGCCAGCUAAGGUCCCAAAGUCAUGGUUAAGUGGGAAACGAUGUGGGAAGGCCCAGACAGCCAGGAUGUUGGCUUAGAAGCAGCCAUCAUUUAAAGAAAGCGUAAUAGCUCACUGGUCGAGUCGGCCUGCGCGGAAGAUGUAACGGGGCUAAACCAUGCACCGAAGCUGCGGCAGCGAACGUAUCACUUAAAGCGAUUCAGCGGGUUACGAUUGACGGAGCGAAGCGACGUCAAAGCGUAUACAAAGUCGAGUCGGUUUAAGGAUACGUUCGUUGGGUAGGGGAGCGUUCUGUAAGCCUGUGAAGGUGGCCUGUGAGGGUUGCUGGAGGUAUCAGAAGUGCGAAUGCUGACAUAAGUAACGAUAAAGCGGGUGAAAAGCCCGCUCGCCGGAAGACCAAGGGUUCCUGUCCAACGUUAAUCGGGGCAGGGUGAGUCGACCCCUAAGGCGAGGCCGAAAGGCGUAGUCGAUGGGAAACGGGUUAAUAUUCCCGUACUUGGUGUUACUGCGAAGGGGGGACGGAGAAGGCUAUGUUGGCCGGGCGACGGUUGUCCCGGUUUAAGCGUGUAGGCUGGUUUUCCAGGCAAAUCCGGAAAAUCAAGGCUGAGGCGUGACGACGAGGCACUACGGUGCUGAAGCAACAAAUGCCCUGCUUCCAGGAAAAGCCUCUAAGCAUCAGGUAACAUCAAAUCGUACCCCAAACCGACACAGGUGGUCAGGUAGAGAAUACCAAGGCGCUUGAGAGAACUCGGGUGAAGGAACUAGGCAAAAUGGUGCCGUAACUUCGGGAGAAGGCACGCUGAUAUGUAGGUGAAGCGGUUUACCCGUGGAGCUGAAAUCAGUCGAAGAUACCAGCUGGCUGCAACUGUUUAUUAAAAACACAGCACUGUGCAAACACGAAAGUGGACGUAUACGGUGUGACGCCUGCCCGGUGCCGGAAGGUUAAUUGAUGGGGUCAGCGCAAGCGAAGCUCCUGAUCGAAGCCCCGGUAAACGGCGGCCGUAACUAUAACGGUCCUAAGGUAGCGAAAUUCCUUGUCGGGUAAGUUCCGACCUGCACGAAUGGCGUAAUGAUGGCCAGGCUGUCUCCACCCGAGACUCAGUGAAAUUGAACUCGCUGUGAAGAUGCAGUGUACCCGCGGCAAGACGGAAAGACCCCGUGAACCUUUACUAUAGCUUGACACUGAACAUUGAGCCUUGAUGUGUAGGAUAGGUGGGAGGCUUUGAAGUGUGGACGCCAGUCUGCAUGGAGCCGACCUUGAAAUACCACCCUUUAAUGUUUGAUGUUCUAACGUGGACCCGUGAUCCGGGUUGCGGACAGUGUCUGGUGGGUAGUUUGACUGGGGCGGUCUCCUCCUAAAGAGUAACGGAGGAGCACGAAGGUUGGCUAAUCCUGGUCGGACAUCAGGAGGUUAGUGCAAUGGCAUAAGCCAGCUUGACUGCGAGCGUGACGGCGCGAGCAGGUGCGAAAGCAGGUCAUAGUGAUCCGGUGGUUCUGAAUGGAAGGGCCAUCGCUCAACGGAUAAAAGGUACUCCGGGGAUAACAGGCUGAUACCGCCCAAGAGUUCAUAUCGACGGCGGUGUUUGGCACCUCGAUGUCGGCUCAUCACAUCCUGGGGCUGAAGUAGGUCCCAAGGGUAUGGCUGUUCGCCAUUUAAAGUGGUACGCGAGCUGGGUUUAGAACGUCGUGAGACAGUUCGGUCCCUAUCUGCCGUGGGCGCUGGAGAACUGAGGGGGGCUGCUCCUAGUACGAGAGGACCGGAGUGGACGCAUCACUGGUGUUCGGGUUGUCAUGCCAAUGGCACUGCCCGGUAGCUAAAUGCGGAAGAGAUAAGUGCUGAAAGCAUCUAAGCACGAAACUUGCCCCGAGAUGAGUUCUCCCUGAGACUUAGAGUCUCCUGAAGGAACGUUGAAGACGACGACGUUGAUAGGCCGGGUGUGUAAGCGCAGCGAUGCGUUGAGCUAACCGGUACUAAUGAACCGUGAGGCUUAACCUUACAACGCCGAAG